rnacentral:rRNA from 1 species
UACGAAGGUCCCAAGCGUUGUUCGGAUUUACUGGGCGUAAAGAGUCUGUAGGCUGUGCGGCAAGUCAGAUGUGAAAUCCCGGGGCUCAACCCCGGAACUGCAUCCGAUACUACCGCGCUAGAGUAUUGGAGGGGAAUCUGGAAUUCUCGGUGUAGCAGUGAAAUGCGUAGAUAUCGAGAGGAACACUAGUGGCGAAGGCG